CGCGUAGGCGGUGCGGUAAGUCACCUGUGAAACCUCUGGGCUUAACUCAGAGCCUGCAGGCGAAACUGCCGUGCUGGAGGGUGGGAGAGGUGCGUGGAAUUCCCGGUGUAGCGGUGAAAUGCGUAGAUACCGGGAGGAACACCUGUGGCGAAAGCGGCGCACUGGACCACUACUGACGCUGAGGCGCGAAAGCUAGGGGAGCAAACAGGAUUAGAUACCCUGGUAGUCCUAGCCCUAAACGAUGAUUGCUUGGUGUGAUCGGUACCCAAUCCGAUCGUGCCGCAGCUAACGCGAUAAGCAAUCCGCCUGGGGAGUACGGUCGCAAGGCUGAA
rnacentral:rRNA from 1 species